rnacentral:rRNA from 1 species
GACGAACGCUGGCGGCGUGCUUAACACAUGCAAGUCGAACGGUGAAGGGAUCAGCUUGCUGGUUCUGGAUGAGUGGCGAACGGGUGAGUAACACGUGAGUAACCUGCCCCCUUCUUCUGGAUAACCGCAUGAAAGUGUGGCUAAUACGGGAUAUUCUGCGCCUGCUGCAUGGUGGGUGUGGGAAAGAUAUUGUUUCGGUGGGGGAUGGGCUCGCGGCCUAUCAGCUUGUUGGUGGGGUGAUGGCCUACCAAGGCGGUGACGGGUAGCCGGCCUGAGAGGGUGGACGGUCACACUGGGACUGAGACACGGCCCAGACUCCUACGGGAGGAAGAAGUGGGGAAUAUUGCACAAUGGGCGCAAGCCUGAUGCAGCGACGCCGCGUGAGGGAGGGAGGCCUUCGGGUUGUGAACCUCUUUCGCCAGUGAGGCAGGCCUGUCCCUUGUGGGUGGGUUGACGGUAGCUGGAUAAGAAGCGCCGGCUAACUACGUG